UACAUCUCCUCGAGCUGUGUGGUUCAGCAUUUCUCAGGGAGCCCUUCCCCAGGCGCAUCAUGUGCUCUCGGGAGCUACCUUCUCCUCUUGUCUCCAGAAUGCUGUUCUGGACUGCUCACCGCACCACAUUAGGUAGCCAGACUGCUGGGUGUGGCGGCUGGUAUGUGGUCCCACCGCUGGAGAGGAUGGGGCAGGAGGAUUCUGAAUUCCGAGGCAGACUAGUCUACUACCCAGGAUCUGAACACAAAAAGGAACAAUCAGGUAACCCUAAGAACUCUUGUUCUUCCAUCACUCUAAGCCAUCUGGACCCUGGUUGCUGCUUCUGCUCCCUUUGCCCUCGUGGAUUGUCCUGAGUUUCUUUCUGCCCUGAGUUUCCUUCAUGAUGAACUCUAAGUGAAACCCUUUCACCCUUCGACUCUGAGGUCAUGGAUGGAAGGCAGUGAACGUGACCCAGAAAGAGGAUCUCUAUUAGGCACAAAUCUACUGCUGCUUUGAUCUGGGACUUUCUAGAAACUGGGUUCUACAUGGGUUUUUCAAGUUCGCUCUUCUACAGACCCCCUGCGUCUCCUCCACCCACUGAGUGCUAGCAUCAAAGGUAUAGCCACGCUCUCAUCUCCACACUUUUCCUCAUUCUCUGAAGUGUCUCUUCACUUCUUCACUGGCCCUAAAGCAGACUUUCAUUUUGGUCCUUUUGGCCAAUGUGUUUUGGUCUCUGGCUUUACUGCAGCCUUUUCUAUUUUUCAGGGAUACCUGUGUCUGCAUAACGGAGGCUCUAGGGGGUUUUGCCAGGAGACUGAAUCUUGGGAAAUGCUUAAAUAAUUUUGAAAAACAAAAAGCAAUUUUCAGAGCUAUGACCUCCCCCUUAGUCUUCAGGGGAAUUUAUCCUCUAGGCUUCUUUUCUCAGUGUUUUCUCCCUCUGGGGUCUAGGUAGGGAGCUCCCAUUUUUUCUUGUAAUGUGUUGAUUGACUCGGGGAGAGCUAUCCAGGAUGGCAGCACUCUAGGAAGCUGCUUCCUUGGUCUCCUCUGCUUUUAAUCUAACCAAAUAGCGUUUUCUCUGGCAGAUCUAAUCUGAAGGUUAGGGUGGAACAUUGGACUUUUGUAUAUCUUUGCCCACUUGAAAUGGCUUUCACCAACUCUGCUGGUGCUCAAAUGAUUUUUGUGUUUCUGCUUCUCCUAGGAAGCAAGUUGGGGGUUCCUUGAAGAGAGUCAUAGAUGGAAGAGAAGGCCCAACUCAUGAUCACAGCUCUUCUCAGUCUCCUGGAAUACUAUCUUUGUUUUCUUUCUACCUUCUACUGAUGUAGAGAAAAAUGAAAGAGGAACUGACAAGGAGGGUGGGGAAAGUAAGGUUUCUGCUUCGUUUGCCUGUGUUUGAAGAGUCCAACUACUACAUUCUGUUGUUAGUAUGCAAAGGGGAAAUGACUCUCUCUCUCUCUCUCUCUCUCUCUCUCUCUCUCUCUCUCUGUAUGAUGAUAGA
rnacentral:sRNA from 1 species